UGCGGUUCUUGGGUGACACACCCGGAACCAGAGAGGAGGGAGCCCGAUUCCAGGGUGUGUCACCCGAGAACCACC
rfam:Myotis brandtii contig237111, whole genome shotgun sequence.